UACGUAGGGUGCGAGCGUUGUCCGGAAUUAUUGGGCGUAAAGGGCUCGUAGGCGGUUUGUCGCGUCGGGAGUGAAAUCCACUGGCUUAACUGGUGGCUUGCUUUCGAUACGGGCAGACUGGAGGUAUGCAGGGGAGAACGGAAUUCCUGGUGUAGCGGUGAAAUGCGCAGAUAUCAGGAGGAACACCGGUGGCAAAGGCGGUUCUCUGGGACGGUACUGACGCUGAGACGCGAAAGCGUGGGGAGCGAACAGG
rnacentral:rRNA from 1 species